CUGGGGUGACACAUGAGGGAGAGCCCCCGGGGGUGGGGGGGCCGUCCGGAGCAGACUGCGAUGACACCCGGCAGGGGCAGAAGAUUAACGGGAGGUAGUCGGGGGGGCUCAGGGAGAGGGAAACGCUGCUGCUCCCAGCGCGUGAGAGGCCAGGGCGUGACCAAGGGGCUCGACGGGCUGAGCAACCACGGGAAGGGGCGUCCGAGCUAAUUCCCCAGAUGAGCCAGAAGAUGAUGCUGCCGAGGGCGCAAAGGGGCCCGUGGUGUUUGGACGUGCCUGGCCAGAUGGCAGCGCUGGGGUGAGCGUGUUCACCUGCACCUGAUGGGGUCGCUGUGCCUGAGGGGUUGGAGCACACAGGACCCCUGGGAGGGCUUUUGAACGUGCCAGGUAAGGAGCCCUGCCCCACCUCUUUGUCCACCUCACCCACCUGGGAGUUUAGGGUCCUUUAUGGUAAUCCCUUGAGUGCCCAGCAGACCUCAAAGGUUCCCCCUUAGCUGUCUAAGCUUCUAUGGCUGCUUUUCAAAAGUGCUAGCAGUGUCCACUGAAACCCAUGGAGAAUCUUCCUCACCCCACCCCACUGAGAAGAAUAGAGGAUUCCACCGCACCCCACCCCUCUGAGAAUACUGCAGGGGUCUUGGAUCCCAGCUGAGAACAAUGGGAGCUGCUGCAUGCUGAGCUGUUUGGGAAAACCUGGACACUCAUUUCCACCAAGUGAGCUUCUGAAACUCCAGCCUUGGCUCCUGCUCUAUUAGCGACUGUCACGGUGCUUUACUGUGAGCUCGAUGUGCCCAUGGGGUCCUGUGUGUGCUGCUCACCCCGAUGCACUCUAAGGGCAUGGAAAGGAAAGUUCCAAGAUGGUGUAAUGGAUUGAUUUCUGUUUUCUCAGUUACUUUUAUUGUAAAUGAAAUAAAAACAUAGCAGAUCAGUGACAAGCUGGGGAUGAGGGUGCCAUGUAAAUGUGAGUCAUUGUCAGUGAGAGGUGCUGAAAGCAAAGAUGGGGAAUCCUGAUAUAGACACACGACAGGCACUCAGCUAUGCAAAUAC